rnacentral:lncRNA from 1 species
AUUUACAACAGCUUUGUGGAUCCUGUACUACUAUGAUCUUUAUUUUACAAAUGAGGGAUCAAAAGAUCAGAUAAUACAAGUGUCUUCUCCAAGUUUAGAGCUGGAAUAUGAAAUCACAUCUGUAUGGUUUCAGAACAGAAAAAUCACUGGCUACUUCAGCAAGUGGCUCUAUCUACUCAAAUUCAGUCAUUACAUCAGAGGGAUGCAACUACAAAUUUUUCUUUUAUUAAUGAACAUAUAUACAUCUGUUGUUUCUGCUGCAAUUAAAGUGACCUUAAGUGAGGAGUUUCACGUGAGUUACUUAGCAUCUUUUCAGGUAUUUGGAUGAGAGAGCAGUUUUGCCUUAAGAGAAAAGGCACCAGGCUGUAACCAGAUAUUAAAAAAUACAUUCAUAAAAGCCUCAAAGUAGAGGUCA